CAUACAUACAUACAAUAUAAUUGAAAAUGUAUAGGAUAAAUGUAUAUGAGUAUGUAUGUAUAUACACACGUACAUGUGCACGUUUGCAUAUUGCUAAUGGUUAUUUUGCUAUUCGCUACUUGAUUUCUGAGUAAUGCUACGCAACACAUUACUGGCCAUCGGAAAUGCAGAAAUCGAAUCAAAAGCAAAAUUUCAAAUCAACGCAUGAAUAUUGGUUGUUAUAAAUAAAUAAAUACAUGCAUAUAUUUAUAUUGGAGAGUUUAUAUGCAUUCAUACACACUAAUACAUAUGCGUUUAAUGUACAUAUUAAUUUGGCUAAAAGCUUAUUUAAUUGCCCUGAGAGAAAUUGAGAGCGAAGAUCUAUUUUUAGUGAGUAUUCAGAGAGCAUUUGCUGCUCCAAACUGACGCUCUCCAGAGAGAGUUAGACAUUAACAAUAAGAACUUUACACGGUCCGAGAAGCUCCUAAACCCAGUUUCGAUGAAAUUGCGGCAUGAAUAUACUCAAAAUUUCACCACAGGAGCACCGCCUCAGCGAAGUGCAAUAUCUAUCAAUCUGCAUCUUGAUCCUAAUUUUCUUCCAAAAAGCGAUAUUUUGAAGACUUGAAGGUAAAGUAGGAGAGAGCUGUGCAGUGGUUCCAAUUCGCGCUUCACACCUCCAAUCUUUUCAAAAUAGCAUUAAACAUAUAUAUAUAUAUAUGAGGAGAUAUGCUAAAAAAAUCGCAUUGGGAACGCGCUCAACUCACCUCGAACAUACAAAUAAGUCUGCAUAAGUGGCCUCUCUCAUUCGCUCUGAACCAUGAACAACAAUUUGCAUGGACAUUGAACAUGAAGACUGCUGAUUGCUUGGCUUUGCCACCGAAGAGAGAAGAGGAGAGGUGAGGAGAGUAGCAUAAUAAUAGGUGAAUGAGGCGAGAGGAGGGCGAGGGGAAUUGACGACAGCUGAGAACGAUGCGACUAAAUUGGGUGACGGUCGAAGGAUAGGUUCUGCGGUCAAAAGCAAUUUUCUGCAAGAGCAAAUCGAAAACCAUAUUAUUAAAUUAUUUUAAGUGCUUUUUGUUGUUAUUGCCGAAUGACAAUUUAUUGCAUUGAAUGUAUUAAAAAAAUUCCCAUUUAUAUGUGAGGAGAUAUAAUAUUUCUGUGAUUGUCCUUUCUACAAAAUUUCCACUGAUCAGAAUUACUACCAUUUAAGGGGUCUAGAGUCUUUAACCCAGUCGCUGCAGUGGGUGAGACAUUUGUAAUUGCGUUCGUUCAGAAAACGUCAAUCGCUACGAUCAAUGCCAUUCUAUUUUCAAAUUACAAAUUUAAAGUCGAGCUUGGGUGAGAAUGAGGAGAUUCGCGGAAUUAAAAUAGAAAUUCCAGUCUGCAGUGUUGCCUCAUUUGAAGUAAAAGCAGAUAAAGGCGAUUACAAAACCAAGGUUCCUAAAGGAGUAUUCCCGGUCAACGAUCGCAUAUUUGCUUUCACAGGCAGUAUACCGAAUACCAAAUAGAGGAAAUGUCGCACGGAGCCAGAUCAGUCUUCUUCGUGUUCUUCGUGUUCAUGUUCUUCAAAAGUUGCCCUUGAGCAGUAAAAUGUCAAAGUAUCAUGUACAAGCACUGAUGUCCAUUCAUUUACUCUUCAGACACACUCUCCAGCUCCGCUCCUCUGUUCCUCAUCACUCGAAGGACUAAAGUACGAAUGUUCUGGAGCGGAAUAUAUUUAUGUGAAAUUUAUAGUGAAAUACGAAAAUCCAUACAAUUUAGUAACGCUCUUGCAUUGCACGGACACGAGUGGCGAGGAAGCGGCAGGGCGCUGCUGCAGCAUUAAGGAAAUCUUGAAACUGACAGCGGAAAAUAUACAGAAAUUAUACAAAAAAAAAAGAAAAGAAAAAUGCUGAAGUACGAAAUAUUUGAAAUAAAGUAGCAGGAAGAGCGCUUUGACGGCAGGAAAAGCAAAGCAAAGCAAUAAUGACACAAAAGAAAUAUGUUUUUUGAUGUUGGCCAAGAAAAAGUAGUUAAACUCAAGAAAUUAUCAGACAAGAAUUAAACUUCUUUCAACCCACCUUAGGACUCUACUCGUCGCAGCCUCAGUGACCAAUAGAAUUUCCAAGUGAGCCAAGACAACCACUUGGCAUGAGCUGUUGAAAAAACUAGAGAUUUUGUUUCUUUAGGUGACUUUAGACAGAUCGAGCAAAUCAAAAGAAGAGUCCUCUCUUGACGAACAAAGAUCAAAUUGUGUUGGUCUGCCAUUAUUUCAGCUCUACGGAAUGGUUGAGAAGCGCAUUAGAAGUUUGGUGACAAAGGUUUUCCAAUGGAUUUUUUAGCCCUUACGUACCAGGGAGACAAGGAACGAGGAGCUUGUCAAGAUAAACGCAAAUACUGAUAUAAAUCAAGGAUUUACUAAACACCUGCCACAUCGGCUGGGUAACAUCGCUUCGAUACUGGUAAUUGAUGGAAGAAAUGUAAA